UACGUAGGGCGCAAGCGUUAUCCGGAAUUAUUGGGCGUAAAGAGCUCGUAGGCGGCUUGUUGCGUCAGCUGUGAAAACCCGCAGCUCAACUGUGGGCUUGCAGCCGAUACGGGCAGGCUAGAGUUCGGUAGGGGAGACUGGAAUUCCUGGUGUAGCGGUGAAAUGCGCAGAUAUCAGGAGGAACACCGGUGGCGAAGGCGGGUCUCUGGGCCGACACUGACGCUGAGGAGCGAAAGCGUGGGGAGCGAACAGG
rnacentral:rRNA from 1 species